GUUGCUGUCCUCGUUGGGUAGAAUGUCUCACUCGCCCUGAUCUGAUCUGUCUGCCGUGGCUGUGUUUCGGUGUUGGUAAGAUUGCUAGAAUGCAGCAACAGAUGUGAGGCUUGCCACUGAAUAAUUUUGUUGGCCAACUUUUAUAUAAAUCGAACACCUCUAAGAAAAGGCAUAUGCAGUAUUCCUUAGUCUAUACUUAAUACUGUAAAGAUUUUACAACCUGAUAUGAUUAGCGGAGAAUAAACAGUGCAAGCGCCUGCCAGUAGCACCAUGAUCAACCAAAUCUUAUGUACUAGUAUAAAUUAACUCUGAUGGCCAUUACAUUGACUUCCCAGUACUUAUUUAUGUAAACAUGUUUUUUUUACUGCUACAUUAUGGUUGAAAUGUCAAUAUAUUUAAACUCACUGUUUAGAUUCUGCAAUCACAAGUAUCACUGUAGUCUGGUCUUAGACAGAUUAUUGUUUGAGUUAAGUUCACUGAACAACUUUUGCAAUACCCCAUUCUGCCCAACACCAACCCCCAAGCUUGGUUCGAUAUAAAAUUAGAACUGUUCAUUGCUUGUUUAAUGCUCCAACAUUGAUAACACUCCCUUCAUGCUUGCUGACCCACACCUUGCUCGGUUUUUUUCGCAGUCCCGAUGAGGCCAUGAUGCUUACCUUGUUGGAGCGCAUCAACCCUGACCAUGGCACCACAUUCAGAGUCUUGAGAUGCCUUCGUUCAGCCUGUACGAACAUAUCCAGAAAUGGUGUUUUCUCUCAUUGAAGGAGCUCCGGCCUGGAAGUGAAGAAGUGUGGAGUAUAUUUGCAGUAUUAGUUAUAUGUUGUGAUAGUAUCACAUGUAAUGGUGAAAUGAAUUAUGUAAAGAUUGUGCUAUUAGCCAAAAUCGGCAUGUCGUUUGAUAAUUUUCAUUUGUUUGCUGUUCUGACUGAAA